UACGAAGGGGGCUAGCGUUGUUCGGAAUUACUGGGCGUAAAGCGCGCGCAGGCGGUUCUUCAAGUCAGUGGUGAAAGCCCGGAGCUCAACUCCGGAACUGCCAUUGAAACUGUGGAACUUGAGGAUGAGAGAGGUGAGUGGAAUUCCCAGUGUAGAGGUGAAAUUCGUAGAUAUUGGGAAGAACACCGGUGGCGAAAGCGGCUCACUGGACCAUUACUGACGCUGAGGCACGAAAGCUAGGGGAGCAAACAGG
rnacentral:rRNA from 1 species